rnacentral:misc_RNA from 1 species
AACGCACAUUGCGCCCUUUGGCAUUCCGAAGGGCAUGCCCGUUCGAGCGUCAUUUCACCAAUCAAGCCUGGCUUGGUCUUGGGCGAGGGGCUGCGCGCCCCGGCCCCUAAAUCGUCGGCUGGACGGUUCGAUUCUCAGCGUUGUGGUAUCAUCAAUUCGCUGCGGGAGACGACCGGACGCGCCGUUAAACCUUUUACUUCAGGUUGACCUCGGAUCGGGUAGGGAUACCCGCUGAACUUAA